GGGGGCGUUUAUGGAUUCGACGGGGACAGUUCGAGCAUGGGUAGCGGGUAGUAGGGCUGCGACUGCUUCAACAACGCGGAAAGCCUAUUAAACGGCAAACAACAACAACCUCUGGCUCUGGCCGCCUAAUAACGGUCACCAGGCUUCUACUCUCCAUCGCCCAUGUGGCGGGAUAGGGGCUCAACUUUAGUGGGAUACGCUGUCUAGUCUCCGCCUGGGGCUAGCUGAAGAAGACAAUCAGGCUGACCCAACGCGGAGCCGGUUCCGGGGCGCCGCUCGGGUGACAUCAAAACUGGGACUACACCCGUAGAAGCACAUGUGGCGUUGUCUUCGGACAGGGGUUCGACUCCCCUCGCCUCCACCA
rnacentral:tmRNA from 1 species